GUCUGGUCUGAAGGUGGUGAGUUAUCUCAGUUGAUUGCUCACAACCAGUUACAGAUCAAGCUCCUCAUUCUACUCUUUCCUCCUUCUCACUACUGGACUUGACUAGUCUAGG
rnacentral:Y_RNA from 1 species